AAAUUACUUGGACCUGCUAGGAGUAAGAAUUGAUAAGUCUGUCAUUUUGCAAUGUCAGAUCAAACCAGUAAUAUUCAGCAAUCCCCUGUGUGGCUGAUGUUUGCUCUCAGCCUUACUCUCGUCAUUCUCUCGUGUUGCGAAACCUCAGAAGCAUCAGUUUACCGCAAAAAAGGGAUCUGUUCAUACAAGGACAAGUUCUUCAAACCUGGCGAUACCUUCAGGAGAGGCUGUGACAAGUGCUUCUGUCAUGAGUUUGGGUUUUACUGCUACUCACCAAAGAAACCCACCUCAUGGCCAAGGAAGUGUUAUCGGGUGCAGACAGACUGUGGAUAUAUGGUUGUUUACAAAGGAAACCCACUGGUGGAGUGCCGUGCUUACAGCUGGAUAGGCUAACUUCAGUGUUGAAAACUUAACAUUGUUCAUGCCUUAUUACUUUUCAGAUUUGUUUAGAUUUUGUUUAACAGAUUUGUGCAUUUUGCCUUUGAUAGGGCUAAUCAUAUAAUAAAUGAUGCUGUUAAAGAGUUGGUUAAGCAGGUUAAUGGUGAGAACAAAGGUUAAGGGACCUUAAUGCAUGCUAUAGUUUUGUGUGCUUUCUCCACUUGUUUCUUUUUAACUCUGGAAUGUGGACAUUUUUUUGUGACCGAGGUUCUUAUGAGGUCAAAGUUUUAUCCAUAGAACAUUUGUAAGUCCUAAUUAUAAACAA